UCUGAAUCUGCGAACGGCUCCGCAAACCAGUUGUAAACUACAGCAAGCAAGCACGGGGGGUUGGCCUUCACGGGUCGGUCCCUCGGGCGAUAUGGAUAACCCUGGUAAUUCUGAGGCUAAUACAAGAACGUAACCCCUGGCUGACUGAGCCCUCGCCCUCGGGUGGGGAUACUUGGGAGGCUGGGAAGCGUGCGAGUACUAAUGCGAAUGAGAACCGGGAAUGGGCGCACGCUUGGACCGCGCUACAAAGGAUCAUUACUCGGCAAUCCCUCCGGGGUGCGCUUUGUUUUGGCCCUAGCGGCUCUUGCGGUGUGCUUCUGACCUAUCAACUAGACGGCAGCGUAACGGACAUGCUAUGGU
rnacentral:rRNA from 1 species